rnacentral:lncRNA from 1 species
AUGUUCACAGUUCUGGAAUACCUCCUGUGGGGAAGACGUAGAUCUACUCAGAAACACCAUUUGCUGGGAAAGGCACAUAAACUCAAAUACAAAACGCACUGUGCCAAGUAUAAGAACAGAGAAACGGACAGAGAAAUGCAGAGGAGAGAGAUGACGGGAAGGAAGGAAGGAAGGGAGGGAGGGAGGGAGGAGGAAGGAAGGGAGGCAAGCAGGAAGAAGGAAGGCAGAAAGGAAGGAAGGAAGGCAGACAGGCAGGAAGGAAGAAUGCAGGCUGGCAAGAAGAAAGAAAGGAAGAAAGGAAGCAAGAAGGAAGGAAGGCAGGGAGGCAAGCAGGAAGGAAGGAAGCAAGCAAGCUGGCAGGCAAGAAGGAAGGAAGGAAGGAAGCAAGAAGGAAGGAAGGAAGCAAGAAGGAAGAAAGGAAGGCAGGAAGGAAGGCAGGUAGGCAGGAAGGAAGGAGGCAGGGUGGCAAGAAGGAAGGAAGGAAGGAAGGAAGGAAGGAAGGAAGGAAGGAAGGAAGGAAGGAAGAAGAAGGAAGGAAGGAGGCAAGCAGGAAGCAAGCAAGCAAGCAAGCUGGCAGGCAAGAAGGAAGGAAGAAAGGAAGCAAGAAGGAAGGAAGGAAGCUGGAAGGAGGGAGGGAGGGAAGGAAGGAAGGAAGGAAGGAAGGAAGGAAGGAAGCAAGCUGGCAAGCAGGAAGGAAAGAAGGCAGGAAGGAAGGCAGGAAGAAAGGAGACAGGCAAGAAGGAAGGAAGGAAGCAAGCAAGCUGGGAGGCAAGAAGGAAGGAAGAAAGGAAGCAAGAAGGAAGGAAGGAAGCUGGAAGGAAGGAAGGAAGGAAGGAAGGAAGGGAGGAAGGAGGCAAGCAGGAAGCAAGCAAGCUGGCAGGCAAGAAGGAAGGAAGAAAGGAAGCAAGAAGGAAGGAAGGAAGCUGGCAGGCAGGCAGGAAGGAAGGAAGGAAGGAAAAAGGAAGGAAGGAAGGAAGCUGGCAAGCAGGAAGGAAAGAAGGAAGGAAGGAAGGAAGCAAGAAGGAAGGAAGGAAGCAAGCAAGCAAGCUGGGAGGCAAGAAGGAAGGAAGCAAGCAAGCUGGGAGGCAAGAAGGAAGGAAGGAAGAAGGAAGGAAGGAGGGAAGGAAGGAAGGAAGGAAGGAAGGAAGGAAGGAAGGAAGCAAGCAGGGAGGCAAGCAGGAAGGAAGCAAGCAAGCAAGCUGGGAGGCAAGAAGGAAGGAAGAAAGGAAGCAAGAAGGAAGGAAGGAAGCAAGAAGGAAGAAAGGAAGGCAGGAAGAAAGGAAGGAAGGCAGGUAG